rnacentral:rRNA from 1 species
UCCCGCGUAAYUUAGGCAUAUCACUAAGCGGAGGAAAAGAAACCAACAGGGAUUCCCCUAGUAGGGGCGACCGAACGGGGAUGAGCCCAUCGCGUAGCCGUUAGCGGUCGCCUUAAUCGGUUAUAUCGCUAAACGGGGUGCCGCGUAUGGGAAGUUCGCAGAGCGAUUACGGCUCGUUCAAGUAUUUAUUGAACAUAGUCCAAGUGCCCAUAGAGGGUGUAAGGCCCGUUCGACGAGUCGUAAACGUCUCCCGCGUUCUUCCCGAGAGUCGGGUUGCUUGAGAAUGCAGCCCUAAGAGGUGGUAAACUCCAUCUAAGGCUAAAUACUUCCACGAGACCGAUAGCGAACAAGUACCGCGAGGGAAAGUUGAAAAGAACUUUGAAGAGAGAGUUCAAUAGAGCGUGAAACUGCCACGAGGUUAAAGCGGAUGGACGGUCGUGGCAGAACAGGGGGAUUCAACCCUCCGGACGUUUGUGAGGCGCUCGCGCGCGUGACGACCGACUCCUCGGCUUCUCUCGGUACUCGUUGCCAGGUUGUCGGGGAGGUUAAAACUGGCGUUCGCCGCGUUUUGCCGGUCUCCUCGUACUCGAAGGAGGGUUGUACCUUUCACCUUAGUAAGCCGUCGCGGUCGUUGUGGCGUUGUCGAUUACCCUUCGGUUCGGGAACUGACCCCCAAAGCUUUCCGGAAUUUUACAUUUCGGUCCGCGAGUAGGGGUCGGGGACGCCGUUGGAAUACGACGGACGCCUGCGACGAUACUGAUAGCAGACGGGUCGGUUCAAUAACGAAUUAGGCGGAGGUGGGGCUCUCUCGUUCUUUCAUUAGUUCGGAGCGUCACCCCUCGAUUAAACGCUCCGACCCGUGCGCGGCGCAUAUACGGCGCACGUCUAUCCGUCCCGUCUUGAAACACGGACCAAGGAGUCUAGCAAGUGCGCGAGUCAUAAGGGUUCACUAAACCUUAGAUGGCGUAACGAAAGUAAUGUAAAGCGAGAUUUAUCUCGACGAUGCGGUUAUGGGAGCAAUCUCAUAACCUCGUUGGACCGAUCCCCUCGGAAAUGCCUCGUUUCCCACCCUUCGCGGGGUGGCGAGGCCGCUACCAAUGUAUGAGGGGCGCAGGUCCGGAGGCCCGCCAUAUUAUCCUCUCUCUCCGUUUUACCGACCUCCCUCGUUCGCGGGGAUCAAAUGGGGCCGGGCGGAGAAGACGAUAGGCGGGUUCCAAGAGCGUUCGUGCUAGUACCCGAAAGAUGGUGAUCUAUGCCUGGCCAGGAUGAAGCCAGAGGAAACUCUGGUGGAGGUCCGUAGCGGUUCUGACGUGCAAAUCGAUCGUCGGAGCUGGGUAUAGGGGCGAAAGACCAAUCGAACCAUCUAGUAGCUGGUUCCCUCCGAAGUUUCCCUCAGGAUAGCUGGCACCCUUCAAAAGGAGUUUCAUCCUGUAAAGAGAAUGAUUAGGGGUCCUUGGGGAUGAAAUUUCCUCAGCCCAUUCUCAAACUCUAAAUGGGUGAGAUGCCUGGCUUUCUUUGCAAAGUGAAUAUGAAGCCAAGGCUACGAAUCCGGGCGUGCCUAGUGGGCCAUUUUUGGUAAGCAGAACUGGCGCUGUGGGAUGAACCAAACGCCGAGUUAAGGGGCCUAAGUAUACGGCUCAUUUCAGAUUCCCUGAAAGGCGUUGGUCGCUCAUGACAGCAGGACGGUGGCCAUGGAAGUCGGCAUCCGCCAAGGAGUGUGUAACGACUCACCUGCCGAAGCGACUAGCCCUGAAAAUGGAUGGCGCUCAAGCCGAUCCCCGAUACUCGGCCGUCGGUGGCAAUGAUGACCAAUUAUUUUUAUUGGAGUCUCGAAGCCCCGACGAGUAGGAGGGCGCGACGGUGAGCGAAGAAGGUUAUGGCGUGAGCCUGGCUCGAGCCGCCCUCGGUGAAGAUCUUGGUGGUAGUAGCAAGCACUCGGCUGGGACAGCCAAAUACCUCGACCGAGGACUGAUGCGGAGGAGGGUUCCUCGUCAACUGCAUUUGAACGAGGGUUAGUCGUACCUAAGUCCCCGGCUAGCGCCCCUUUCGAGGGCACGGCCACAUAUAUAUAUAAAAAAUUGAGUCGCACUAGGGGCGAAAGGGAAUCCGGUGAAUAUCCCGGAACCUGGCGCGGGGAACACUUUGAACUUAAAUAUUAGAGGGUCCCCUCUAAUGGCGUUCGUUCGGCGGCAACGUCGUUCGAGCGUCGGGGCCCCGGAAGCUCCUGGUAACGGGAGUCAGAGUCACGUUCGCCGGUGUCGGCCCGGGGAGGAGCUCUAUCUUUUCUUCAUAAGGCGUCGUGGAGCCUGGAAUCAGCUCGCUGGGAGAAAGGCUCGAGACAUACCACACGACAUGCCGCCGAAGAGCGUCGCGGAUGCUGCGACGUCUCGAGCGCCGACACCGGCCCUUGAACAUGUGGCCGCGGGGUUCCCGUUUUGGUCCAAACUUCGCGCCAAGGCCGUAC